rnacentral:rRNA from 1 species
AGAGUUUGAUCCUGGCUCAGAAUCAACGCUGGCGGCGCGCUUAACACAUGCAAGUCGCACGAGAAAGUGGAGCAAUCCAUGAGUAAAGUGGCGUACGGGUGAGUAACACGUGGGUAAUCUACCUCUUAGUGGGGAAUAACCUGGGGAAACCCGGGCUAAUACCGCAUAAGCUCGAGAGAGGAAAGCAGCAAUGCGCUGAGAGAGGAGCCCGCGGCCGAUUAGCUAGUUGGGAGGGUAAAAGCCUACCAAGGCAAAGAUCGGUAGCCGGCCUGAGAGGGCACACGGCCACACUGGCACUGAAACACGGGCCAGACUCCUACGGGAGGCAGCAGUGGGGAAUCCUGCACAAUGGGGGAAACCCUGAUGCAGCGACGCCGCGUGAGCGAUGAAGCCCUUCGGGGUGUAAAGCUCUUUCGGCAGGGAAGAUGAUGACGGUACCUGCAGAAGCAGCUGCGGCUAACUACGUGCCAGCAGCCGCGGUAAUACGUAGGCAGCGAGCGUUGUUCGGAGUUACUGGGCGUAAAGGGUGUGUAGGCGGUUCUUUAAGUUUGGUGUGAAAUCUCCCGGCUCAACCGGGAGGGUGCGCCGAAUACUGAGGGACUCGAGUGCGGGAGAGGAAAGUGGAAUUCCUGGUGUAGCGGUGAAAUGCGUAGAUAUCAGGAGGAACACCGGUGGUGUAGACGGCUUUCUGGACCGUAACUGACGCUGAGACACGAAAGCGUGGGUAGCAAACAGGAUUAGAUACCCCAGUAGUCC